CCUACGGUGUGCAGCAGUGAGGAAUAUUGGUCAAUGGGCGCGAGCCUGAACCAGCCAAGUAGCGUGAAGGAUGACUGCCCUACGGGUUGUAAACUUCUUUUAUAAAGAAAUAAAGUGAGGCACGUGUGCCUUUUUGUCUGUACUUUAUGAAUAAGGAUCGGCUAACUCCGUGCCAACAGCCGCGGUAAUACGGAGGAUCCGAGCGUUAUCCGGAUUUAUUGGGUUUAAAGGGAGCGUAGAUGGGUUUUUAAGUGAGUUGUGAAAGUUUGCGGCUCAACCGUAAAAUUGCAAUUGAUACUGGCAGCCUUGAGUAUAGUUGAGGUAGGCGGAAUUCGUGGUGUAGCGGUGAAAUGCUUAGAGAUCACGAAGAACUCCGAUUGCGAAGGCAGCCUACUAAACUGCCACUGACAUUGAUGCUCGAAAGUGUGGGUAUCAAACAGGAUUAGAUACCCUUGUAGUC
rnacentral:rRNA from 1 species